rnacentral:lncRNA from 1 species
AAGAAGACCUACGUCAACGUGUAAAAAUAUUAUAUCACUAAUUUUUAAGCCCGGGGACCAAGGGAAUUGAUCCCCACAAUUACUGGAAUUAAAAAUAACUAACAAAAAAUUUCAGAAUUUUAGAAAAACAGCAAAAACACCAUCUAAACGACCCCGAAAGCCCAAAAAACGGCUUCAGUCAUGAGAAAUCCAUGUUUAUUGCUCACUGGGCCGUUUCGCAAGGACCUGCCAAAUUUCAGGUCAAUCGAAGUUUGUCAACUUUUUGACCUCCGAUUUUCUACCCUAAUUCGGCAAAACUUGUUUUCCCGUUUUACAUGAUAAAAAUCGACUUUCAGAUUAUUCUAACGCAAAAUCACCAAUAUUAAAAGGAUACGUCAAGUUUUUAGAAUAAUCUAUAUUACCCAUAACAGAUAAUCACACCAAAAACAGUGCAGGUUCUCCGAAAAACAAACUUUGCAUGUAAU